rnacentral:rRNA from 1 species
GCUAGCGACCAUACCACGUUGAAUGUACCGGUUCUCUUCCGAACACCGCAGUUAAGCAACGUUGGGCCUGGUCAGUACUUGCA